GACGAACGCUGGCGGCGUGCUUAACACAUGCAAGUCGAACGGAAAGGCCCUGCUUUUGUGGGGUGCUCGAGUGGCGAACGGGUGAGUAACACGUGAGUAACCUGCCCUUGACUUUGUGAUAACUUCAGGAAACUGGGGCUAAUACCGGAUAGGAGCUCCUGCUGCAUGGUGGGGUUUGGAAAGUUUCGGCGGUUGUGGAUGGACUCGCGGCUUAUCAGCUUGUUGGUGGGGUAGUGGCUUACCAAGGCUUUGACGGGUAGCCGGCCUGAGAGGGUGACCGGCGACAAUGGGACUGAGAUACGGCCCAGACUCCUACGGGAGGCAGAAGUGGGGAAUAUUGCACAAUGGGCGGAAGCCUGAUGAAGCAACGCCGGGUGCGGGAUGCCGGCCUUCGGGCUGUAAACCGCUUUAGCCUGUGACGAAGCGUGAGUGACGGUAAUGGGUAAAGAAGCACCGGCUAACUACGUG
rnacentral:rRNA from 1 species